rnacentral:lncRNA from 1 species
ACACUUUCUCAAAACUUAAAAACAAUUCAACGCAUUCAAACCUUUUGUUUGAGCCUUAGGGCGACACCAUCGAAAACCCUUCUUCAAGGUAAUAAAAUCAACAAAACAAACACAAACAAUUUCAAAACCACGAACUACGAAGGCUCUGAUUUCUCACUUUUCAACAAAACAAACACAAACAAUUUCAAAACCACGAACUACGAAGGCUCUGAUUUCUCACUUCA